GCUGAUAAAAAAAAAAAAAAAAAAAUCAGGGCCUGUGCUGCAGGGAUUCAGCCUUGAUAUGCAUGCAACCAGCUUUCUCCAGUGGUGAAUAAAUCAGCAGGGCCAGCCAGGUGGUUCCUUUAAUAAAAGGCUUAGAGAGACCCCGUGUCCUGAUCUUUUCCAAAUUCCUGGAGUUUCCCAAGAUCUCCAGAGGGAGACAGUCACUUCAGCAUCAGCCAGAACGGACACCAGGCAAGAAGAAUCAUAAAUUAACAGCAGGAAGGCAGUCUUGGGGCUGAUGGGGGAACACCAUUGUGUAUGCAUGCAUGCACAUGUGUGUGUCUGU
rnacentral:lncRNA from 1 species